UGGCCUAUUCUUGGAGAACUUCCAUCAGGGUACUUGAGCCAACUUGUACUCACAAAUGCCCAAGAAGUGCCUGGAUGACUGUGAUGGUUAAUUUUCUGUGUGCCGAAGGCAAAGGGAAUACAGAUUUUGUAGUGGAAGAAAGCCUAGGGCCCAGGAGCUGCAAUGGGCCAUUCUCAUCUGAAGGAAUUGCCUCAGCUUGUUAGAGGACUGGCAUGAAAGGAACAAUCGUGAUAGUGGGCAUAACACAUAAACCCUCU
rnacentral:lncRNA from 10 species